rnacentral:rRNA from 1 species
UACGGGGGGGGCAAGCGUUGUUCGGAAUUACUGGGCGUAAAGGGCUCGUAGGCGGCCAACUAAGUCGGACGUGAAAUCCCUCGGCUUAACCGGGGAACUGCGUCCGAUACUGGAUGGCUUGAGUGUGGGAGAGGGAUGCGGAAUUCCAGGUGUAGCGGUGAAAUGCGUAGAUAUCUGGAGGAACACCGGUGGCGAAGGCGGCAUCCUGGACCAUUACUGACGCUGAGUGAGCGAAAGCCAGGGGAGCAAACGGG